rnacentral:rRNA from 1 species
UGACGCAGCGACGCCGCGUGGGGGAUGAAGGCCCUCGGGUUGUAAACCCCUUUCGGCAGGGACGAAGGGAAACUGACGGUACCUGCAGAAGAAGUCCCGGCUAACUACGUGCCAGCAGCCGCGGUAACACGUAGGGGACGAGCGUUGUCCGGAUUCAUUGGGCGUAAAGCGCGCGUAGGCGGCUCGGAAAGUCGGGCGUGAAAUGCCGGGGCUCAACCCCGGGACUGCGUCCGAUACUUCCGAGCUGGAGGUAGGUAGGGGAGAUCGGAAUUCCUGGUGUAGCGGUGAAAUGCGCAGAUAUCAGGAGGAACACCGGUGGCGAAGGCGGAUCUCUGGGCCUUACCUGACGCUGAGGCGCGAAAGCUAGGGGAGCGAACAGGAUUAGAUACCCUGGUAGUCCUAGCCGUAAACGUUGGGUGCUAGGUGUGGGCGGAUAUCGACCCCGUCCGUGCCGAAGCUAACGCAUUAAGCACCCCGCCUGGGGAGUACGGCCGCAAGGCUAAAACUCAAAGGAAUUGACGGGGGCCCGCACAAGCGGCGGAGCAUGCGGCUUAAUUCGAUGCGACGCGAAGAACCUUACCUGGGCUUGACAUGCAGGGCAAAGCCGGUGAAAGCCGGCGCUCUACGGAGCCUGCACAGGUGGUGCAUGGCUGUCGUCAGCUCGUGCCGUGAGGUGUUGCCUUAAGUGGCGCAACGAGCGCAACCCUUGUCCUUAGUUGCCAGCGGGUAAAGCCGGGAACUCUAGGGAGACUGCCGGUGCCAAACCGGAGGAAGGUGGGGAUGACGUCAAGUCAUCAUGCCCCUUAUGUCCAGGGCUGCACGCAUGCUACAAUGCGCGGUACAAAGGGCUGCGAUCCCGUAAGGGGGAGCGAAUCCCAAAAAGCCGCGCUCAGUUCGGAUCGGGGUCUGCAACCCGACCCCGUGAAGUCGGAGUCGCUAGUAAUCGC